rnacentral:rRNA from 1 species
AUCUCUGUAGAGUCUGCAUAUCAAUAAGCGGAGGAAAAGAAACUAACUAGGAUUCCCUUAGUAACGGCGAGUGAAGCGGGAAGAGCUCAAAUUUGAAAUCUUCAAGGUUUUACCUUGACGAAUUGUAGUUUAAAGAAGUGUUCUCUGUUGGAGUUUUGGUAAAAGUUCUUUGGAAUAGGACAUCAUAGAGGGUGAGAAUCCCGUAUUUGACCAUUAUUUCAGCUGUGUGAUACACUUUCAAAGAGUCGGAUUGUUUGGGAAUGCAGUCCAAAAUGGGUGGUAAAUUUCAUCUAAAGCUAAAUAUUGGCGAGAGACCGAUAGCGAACAAGUACCGUGAGGGAAAGAUGAAAAGAACUUUGAAAAGAGAGUUAAACAGUACGUGAAAUUGUCAAAAGGGAAGCGUUUGACACCAGUGUUGUUUUCUCGAAAAUCAAUUAAAAAUGGCAGUGAUUUUGUGUUGUAUUGACCUUAUAAGCUUUCUGCACUUUUUUCAUGUCUUUUUUAAUGCACUUUUCGUUUAACAAGUCAACAUCAAUUUCUUUUGUUGUAAAAGAGUCAUUGGAAGGUGGCUUUCUUUUCGGAGAAAGUGUUUAUAGCCUUUGGCCUCUGCAAUCGGAGAGAUUGAGGUCUGCAGCGUAGAUCCUUCGGGGUUAGAUACAUUUGUGCUAAGUUAUAGCCUUUCAUAGACAACUUGUUGACUAUGAUCAGUCAUGUAGCUUACUCGCUUAUGCUAUUUUACCUACGCUUAGGAUGUUGAUAGUCACAGCGUGUAC